ACUGCUCAGUAACACGUGGAUAACCUGCCCUUGGGUCCGGCAUAACCCCGGGAAACUGGGGAUAAUUCCGGAUAACGCACAUAUGCUGGAAUGCUUUAUGCGUCAAAUGGAUUCGUCUGCCCAAGGAUGGGUCUGCGGCCUAUCAGGUAGUAGUGGGUGUAAUGUACCUACUAGCCGACGACGGGUACGGGUUGUGAGAGCAAGAGCCCGGAGAUGGAUUCUGAGACAUGAAUCCAGGCCCUACGGGGCGCAGCAGGCGCGAAAACUUUACAAUGCGGGAAACCGUGAUAAGGGGACACCGAGUGCCAGCGUCAUACGCUGGCUGUCCAGGUGUGUAAAAUACACCUGUUAGCAAGGGCCGGGCAAGACCGGUGCCAGCCGCCGCGGUAACACCGGCGGCCCGAGUGGUGAUCGUGAUUAUUGGGUCUAAAGGGUCCGUAGCCGGUUUGGUCAGUCCUCCGGGAAAUCUGAUAGCUCAACUGUUAGGCUUUCGGGGGAUACUGCCAGACUUGGAACCGGGAGAGGUAAGAGGUACAACAGGGGUAGGAGUGAAAUCUUGUAAUCCCUGUGGGACCACCUGUGGCGAAGGCGUCUUACCAGAACGGGUUCGACGGUGAGGGACGAAAGCUGGGGGCACGAACCGGAUUAGAUACCCGGGUAGUCCCAGCCGUAAACGAUGCUCGCUAGGUGUCAGGCAUGGCGCGACCGUGUCUGGUGCCGCAGGGAAGCCGUGAAGCGAGCCACCUGGGAAGUACGGCCGCAAGGCUGAAACUUAAAGGAAUUGGCGGGGGAGCACAACAACGGGUGGAGCCUGCGGUUUAAUUGGAUUCAACGCCGGAA
rnacentral:rRNA from 1 species